ensembl:snoRNA SNORD57 small nucleolar RNA SNORD57
UGUGAAUGAUGACAAGUCUUUCCCUGACCUCACUGUGAGGGUAAAAACUGAUUUAAUGAGCCUGACAC